rnacentral:rRNA from 1 species
AUUGAACGCUGGCGGAAUGCUUUACACAUGCAAGUCGAACGGCAGCACGAGGCAACCUGGUGGCGAGUGGCGAACGGGUGAGUAAUACAUCGGAACGUGCCCAAUCGUGGGGGAUAACGUAGCGAAAGUUACGCUAAUACCGCACACGAUCUACGGAUGAAAGCGGGGGAUCGCAAGACCUCGCGCGAAUGGAGCCGCCGAUGCCAGAUUAGGUAGUUGGUGGGGUAAAGGCUCACCAAGCCAACGAUCUGUAGCUGGUUUGAGAGGACGACCAGCCACACUGGGACUGAGACACGGCCCAGACUCCUACGGGAGGCAGCAGUGGGGAAUUUUGGACAAUGGGAGCAAGCCUGAUCCAGCCAUUCCGCGUGCAGGAGGAAGGCCUUCGGGUUGUAAACUGCUUUUGUACGGAACGAAACAGUUCUCUCUAAUACAGGGGGCUAAUGACGGUACCGUAAGAAUAAGCACCGGCUAACUACGUGCCAGCCGCCGCAGUAAAAC